rnacentral:rRNA from 1 species
GACGAACGCUGGCGGCGUGCUUAACACAUGCAAGUCGAACGAUGAAGCCUAGCUUGCUAGGUGGAUUAGUGGCGAACGGGUGAGUAAUACGUGAGUAACCUACCUUUAACUCUGGGAUAAGCCUGGGAAACUGGGUCUAAUACCGGAUACGACCAAUCUCCGCAUGGGGUGUUGGUGGAAAGCGUUAUGUAGUGGUUAUAGAUGGGCUCACGGCCUAUCAGCUUGUUGGUGAGGUAACGGCUCACCAAGGCGACGACGGGUAGCCGGCCUGAGAGGGUGACCGGCCACACUGGGACUGAGACACGGCCCAGACUCCUACGGGAGGCAGCAGUGGGGAAUAUUGCACAAUGGGCGCAAGCCUGAUGCAGCGACGCCGCGUGAGGGAUGACGGCCUUCGGGUUGUAAACCUCUGUUAGCAGGGAAGAAGAGAGAUUGACGGUACCUGCAGAGAAAGCGCCGGCUAACUACGUGCCAGCAGCCGCGGUAAUACGUAGGGCGCGAGCGUUGUCCGGAAUUAUUGGGCGUAAAGAGCUUGUAGGCGGUUUGUCGCGUCUGCUGUGAAAGGGCCGGGGCUUAACCCCGUGUAUUGCAGUGGGUACGGGCAGACUAGAGUGCAGUAGGGGAGACUGGAAUUCCUGGUGUAGCGGUGGAAUGCGCAGAUAUCAGGAGGAACACCGAUGGCGAAGGCAGGUCUCUGGGCUGUAACUGACGCUGAGAAGCGAAAGCAUGGGGAGCGAACAGGAUUAGAUACCCUGGUAGUCCAUGCCGUAAACGUUGGGCACUAGGUGUGGGGGACAUUCCACGUUUUCCGCGCCGUAGCUAACGCAUUAAGUGCCCCGCCUGGGGAGUACGGCCGCAAGGCUAAAACUCAAAGAAAUUGACGGGGGCCCGCACAAGCGGCGGAGCAUGCGGAUUAAUUCGAUGCAACGCGAAGAACCUUACCAAGGCUUGACAUAUACUGGACCGCAUCAGAGAUGGUGUUUCCCUUCGGGGCUGGUAUACAGGUGGUGCAUGGUUGUCGUCAGCUCGUGUCGUGAGAUGUUGGGUUAAGUCCCGCAACGAGCGCAACCCUCGUUCUAUGUUGCCAGCACGUUAUGGUGGGGACUCAUAGGAGACUGCCGGGGUCAACUCGGAGGAAGGUGGGGAUGACGUCAAAUCAUCAUGCCCCUUAUGUCUUGGGCUUCACGCAUGCUACAAUGGCCGGUACAGAGGGUUGCGAUACUGUGAGGUGGAGCUAAUCCCUAAAAGCCGGUCUCAGUUCGGAUUGGGGUCUGCAACUCGACCCCAUGAAGUCGGAGUCGCUAGUAAUCGCAGAUCAGCAACGCUGCGGUGAAUACGUUCCCGGGCCU